CUACGGAGGGUGCAAGCGUUAUUCGGAAUCACUGGGCGUAAAGGACGCGUAGGCGGGUUGGCAAGUCAGAUGUGAAAUCCUACAGCUUAACUGUAGAACUGCAUUUGAAACUGCUAACCUAGAGUAUGGGAGGGGGAGAUGGAAUUAGUGGUGUAGGGGUAAAAUCCGUAGAUAUCACUAGGAAUACCGAAAGCGAAGGCGAUCUCCUGGAACAUAACUGACGCUAAGGCGUGAGAGCGUGGGGAGCAAACAGGAUUAGAAACCCUAGUAGUCC
rnacentral:rRNA from 1 species